rnacentral:sRNA from 1 species
GGGCGUCAUGCUUCCGGCCAGAGCGGAGAGGCGCUGGUGGCCGCGGGGCCGCGAGGUGGGCUCCGUGGGCGGCGCGGAGCUCGGUUCUGCGGGGAGUCUCUGACAGCCCGGGGCUGGCCGCCCGCCCCGCGGCGCCCGGCCCUGUCCCAGCGCACAAAGCUGCGCGCCUCGCAGCCGCCCUCGGCCCGGCUUUGCACUCGCAG